ensembl:miRNA Gm27734 predicted gene, 27734
CCGGGCCGAGUCCGCGGUGGGCGCGGCGCCCACGGUGGGCGUGGCAUGCCCCGAGGCGGGGCGAAGCGGAGCGGGGCGGGGCGGGGCGG